ensembl:lncRNA
GCAGUAUUGAGGUGCUUAUUAGCGGUAAACAGCAACAGCUGAGUGUACAGGUGAGUCUCAGGAAGUGAGACUCUGGUUUGAGAGUCUCUGGAGGUGGCUCUCUACAGGUGGUGACUCAGAGUGAUAGGACCUUACCCGAAGGACACACUUUUCUCUUCCCGACACUUCUAUGAAAGAACUCGAGGAGCGGGCUGGUCACCGGGACUGACGGUUCACCCCACCGCGACGAGGUGUCACACUGAGAGAGAGCUCUUCGCCUACGGUGGCUGUAGUCCUGCGUUAAACGGUCCAGUUCUGGAGGACAGUUCUGACGAAGCUCCAUAGUACCUGUGAUCCUAACCUCUGGCCUGUUAUGUCUCAUGUGGAACCUUUCUACAUGCAGACGCCAUCAAAAGUCCAAAUACAUUUCCACUCGGUGAGGCCUAGUACAGCUCUUCCAACAGCCUAAGCGUUUCACUACCUUGCAGUGGUAUGGUUCCGACACGGGUAAAACGUGCAUUUCCACAAUCGGCAGACGCAAGUGGAUCCGGCCAAAAAAAUUGACCAGAUGCUCAGAAAGAUGGGAUCGGCAGACGUGUGGGUUUCCGGAGGCCUUCUUCUGUGCCGAAAACGUUCAGCGCCUGCCCCUGAUGGACGUCUGCGCGCUGACUGACUGUGGAGCAGGGGAGAAUCUGU